CAGCAAGGCCCAAGAAGAGGCUGCCUCUAAGGCUAGAGACCCCAACUCAGCCCCCUUGGGGCUAUGCUUGGUUUGCCCUAUGCAGUGUUUUAAUUUUUUUUAAUUAGUUGCCAACAUUUAAGAGAUUGGAUAUUACAGAUUUCUCUUGACAAUUUGGAUCCAGUUGUGCAGCCUGUCUUGAAACAGAGAUCUGGCAGGCCUGGGCCUGCCCUCCCGUGAGGCUGCAGCCGUGGGCCCUGGCAUGCACUUGCUCUGGCCCCAUGGCCCCCACUUCUUGCUGCUGGGUCACAGCCAGUCCACUUGGUUCCUUCCCUGACUGGUCCGGCCCCUGUGGGCAUCUGAGUUCUUGAGCUGUGGCUGAUGGUGGCAGAGGCAGCUUCAGGGAAUUCUCUGGGUCCCAAGCCUGUUCCAAAAGCAACAGUGUGGACCGAUGACUCACACCUGCUGAAACUGUCUCCACUGGGCACUGUGUAAAACCCACGAACCGAGGCCCAACCCCAGAAAGGAGAGGGGACGCCGAGAAGGACGGGAGUUUACUUUAUGCUGGCACAGCAAAGUGGAGGGCAAGAGUCGGAGAUUCGGUGGGUUACAGAGAAUUUUUAAAAACUGGUAUAUUUCUUGAGCAACCCAACCUGUGGAUGAGAUGGGAGGCUGCGCCGCACAGGUUCACUGGGUACAGUUCACCCCCCAAAGACGCAAAUCCCGUGCUUAGGAGGGCUUUAUCGCAUGACAGGCACAGUGGUGAGCCCUUUCUGUUCUCACACUUGAGUGUGCAUCAGUCACCUGGCAGGCCUGUUAAAACAGAUUGCUGGGCGCACCCGAGUGUCUGAGUCAGCGGAUCUAGAGUGGAGCCCCAGAAUUGUUGCCUUUCUAACAAGCUCCCAGGUGAUGCUGCUGCUGCUGACACUGGGGACGACUCUUCAAGAACCACUCAUUUAGAGACUCAUCUUCAGCAGUUCUCACCAUCUUAGUAGAGGAGGAAGCCAGCUCCACUCCACCCGACUGGCAGGCUGGGAGGGGCUGAGCUCCCCGUGAGGCUCUCUGGGCGCCGUCUGGAAGUGAGGACACCUCUUGUCCCUUUCACUGGCCAGAGCUCAGUCACGUGGUCACACCUUACUGCGAGGGAUGCUGGGAGAUAGUCCGUCUGUGCACCCAGGGGAAACUGGAAAUGGGAUUUGCUGAUUUCAAGGCAGGCUCUGCUUAGGCUCUGUCGUGCAUAAUGCCAUUUUCACCUCAGAAGGAGAUGUUAUUAACAUGGUCGCACAGCGGCUGGACUGGAGUUCCAUCUGGGCCUCCUGGCUCCUAAGCACAAUGCUAGCUGGCCUCCCGUGGAAGGAGCCGGGAAACAGGACAGAGAAGUCUAGGAACAGGGAGAUGAUAUUGUCAACCAGGCCCCCAUCAUCUGGGAAAGGGACGCUACAUCAGAGGCGGGGCCUGGAGCCUGACCUUUGGUGUCAUUCUGAGCUGUGUGGCACUGGGGAAGUCACUUCUCUCUGAGCCUUGGUUCUUUGUAAUACCAAGAUGAUGACACCUAUCUAGCCAGGUUACUUGUGAGGGUAAAAUAAGAUAACACAGCCGACCGGGGCAGGCACUCAAUAUGUGUUAAUUCAAUCUGAAUUAAAAUCUGCAUCCGGGCUUCUCACCCCUGACUGCACAUUUGAAUCCCCUGGAGAGUUUUUAAAAAUGCAGCACGCCAGAUGCCUACCCUCGGAGGUUCUGCUUUGUUCGUAUGGGGUGAGGUCGGGGCAGAGGUGUCUUCUAAAACGUCUCCCUGGGCGUUUUACUUUGCAGGCAGCCUCGAGAAGCACCUUCUGUGACAAUGAGUUUCAAUCAGAAUGGACCAACUCAUAGGUCCUCCCUACUUAAGAAGUGAAGGGGUCCAGGGUCUCUAAUUGCGACAAGGCGUUUAGGGUUGGGCUGGGGUUGACCUUGAGAUCCGAUGGGGAGCCACCGCGUCCACCAAGCGGGCAGGCAAGUCAGGAGCAGGAAAGGCCUGAUGCAUUUCAUCCACAUCUCGGCCGAGGAAGAGCACGAAAAGGUGCCAUGAACAGAGGCCGGCUCUUCAUCAGCGUGCCCCUGGCCCCGGAUUCUUCUCUCCACCAUCUGCUCUGCAAGACUGGCAGGUCCCAAAACUUACAAACAGCCCCGUCCUGUACUUCCAUGUAAAACAGUGGAGCACCCUAAUUCCCGGGCUAUUACCAGUCAAACAGCUUUCUGCCAGCUCAGGUGACACGUGGCAGUUGGCAUUUGAACAGGUCAUUUUGCAGGACCAGCAAGAGACAGUAAGUCCCACCUUGGGGCUAUUACUCCGAGAGAGAGAGAGAGAGGAAUGGCUACAAGCUUGCGACUUUGGUGAUUUGUCUGGUGUUUCCCUCGAGAGGAGGGGAGAGGGCAGGGCCUGCAGUGGCAGGUCAUUUGUUUAUUUAACAGGGCAUUUACCAUGUGCCAGGCACAUCGGACUUCACUAAGUGCUUUGCAAAUGUUAAUUCCGUUGAAUCCCCACCACAACCUCAUGAGGUUGGUACUGUUAUUAUCUUCAUUUUACAG
rnacentral:lncRNA from 1 species